UACGAAGGGGGGCUAGCGUUGCUCGGAAUCACUGGGCGUAAAGCGCACGUAGGCGGACUCUUAAGUCGGUGGUGAAAUCCUGGAGCUCAACUCCAGAACUGCCUUCGAUACUGGGAGUCUCGAGUCCGGGAGAGGUGAGUGGAACUGCGAGUGUAGAGGUGAAAUUCGUAGAUAUUCGCAAGAACACCAGUGGCGAAGGCGGCUCACUGGCCCGAUACUGACGCUGAGGUGCGAAAGCGUGGGGAGCAAACAGG
rnacentral:rRNA from 1 species